GAAAGAAUUGUGGUUUCAGGCAUAUGGCUUUUGCUAUUAAGCUUUAUUGUCGUCUCUUAUUGGUGAGAAUGAUAUAUUGUUUAAAACUAAGGAGUUGUGAUAGCAUGUUACUGAACCUACAGCAAAAUACCAUCUCAGUUACAUUUAUGAUUUGAUGCCUAAACUAAUGGAAUGAGCAUGAGAGCAGCAAUGAGUGGUGCAUGCAAAGAAUUGGGACAUGGACAAAAAACAGGCUAUUUCUUAUUUAUUGGCAACUUUUUACAAAAUUGAGAGCGGCUGGCAGUUGUCAGAAAGAAGGCCUGGAUGGUCAAUCUCCUUGUACCGAUGGGAAAAUGAACCGGUUCUCUGGAUUUAUUCUAGUCAAACACAGAGCCAGGCUGAACAGGGCUUUUGCUGCUCCAUCUUUGAGUUCCUGGGCAACUAUGUGGCUCCCUGAGCUUUUGUUAAGAAAAGCAGAAGCACCAGGGCACCCAGAUCCUGACGGCAUGUGGUAGGUGGAGAUUGCUCUCCUGCCCUGCAAGUUGGGCAAAUAGGAUGAAAAUUUCUGCACGUUUGAAG
rnacentral:lncRNA from 1 species